rnacentral:rRNA from 1 species
GACGGAGGAUGCAAGUGUUAUCCGGAAUCACUGGGCGUAAAGCGUCUGUAGGUGGUUCGAAAAGUCCACUGUUAAAAAUUGAGGCUUAACUUCAAAGAUGCCGUGGAAACUUUCAAACUAGAGUAUGGUAGGGGUAGAGGGAAUUUCCAGUGGAGCGGUGAAAUGCGUAGGAUAUUGGAAAGACCACCGAUGGCGAAGGCACUCUACUGGGCCAUUACUGACACUGAGAGACGAAAGCUAGGGGAGCAAAUGGG